rnacentral:rRNA from 1 species
GACGAACGCUGGCGGCGUGCUUAACACAUGCAAGUCGAACGGGUCUGCCCUGUUUUUUGCGGGGUGGGUCAGUGGCGAACGGGGUAGUAACACGUGAGUAACCUGCCCCUCACUGCUGGAUAACCGCUUGAAAGGGUGGCUAAUACGGGGUGUUCUGGCUGUGCCGCAUGGUGUGGCUGGGAAAGAUUCACUUUUGUGGUGUUUUGGUGGGUGAUGGGCUCGCGGCGUAUCAGCUUGGUGGGGGGGUGAUGGCCAGCCAGGGCUUUGACGUGUAGGCGGCAUGAGAGGGUGGGCGGCCCAAGUGGGAAUGCGCGACGCACCAGACUCCGGGGGGCAGCAGCAGGGGGGGGUAUUGAACAAUGGGCGGAAGGCUGCUGCAGCGACGUCGCGUGAGGGAUGGAGGCCUUCGGGUUGUGAACCUCUUUCGCCGGUGAAGAAGGUCCUGCUAUUGGUGGUGGGGUUGACGGUAGCCGGGUUAUGAAGCGCCGGCUAACUACGUG